rnacentral:pre_miRNA from 1 species
UUUGUACUCCCUCUGUCCCAAAAUUCUUGUCUUAAAUUUGUCUACAUACGGAUGUAUCUAGUACUAGAUACAUCCGUAUCUAUACAAAUGUAAGACAAGAAUUUUGGGACAGAGGGAAUACUAC